rnacentral:tRNA from 1 species
GUCGCCGUAGCUCAGCUGGAUAGAGCGGUUGUUUCCUAAACAACAGGUCGCAUGUUCAAGUCAUGCCGGUGACGCCA